UACGAAGGGGGCGAGCGUUGUUCGGAAUUACUGGGCGUAAAGGGCGCGCAGGCGGCGCGAGAAGUCAGGCGUGAAAGCCCCGGGCUCAACCUGGGAGGUGCGCUUGAUACUCUUGUGCUUGAGUACGGGAGAGGAGAGUGGAAUUCCCAGUGUAGAGGUGAAAUUCGUAGAUAUUGGGAAGAACACCGGUGGCGAAGGCGGCUCUCUGGACCGUAACUGACGCUGAGGCGCGAAAGCGUGGGGAGCAAACAGG
rnacentral:rRNA from 1 species